rnacentral:rRNA from 1 species
UAGGGAAUAUUGGUCAAUGGGUGAGAGCCUGAACCAGCCAUGCCGCGUGCAGGAAGACGGCCUUCUGGGUUGUAAACUGCUUUUGUCAGGGGAUAAAAUUUCCUUGCGAGGAACAUUGAAGGUACCUGGUGAAUAAGCCACGGCUAACUACGUGCCAGCAGCCGCGGUAAUACGUAGGUGGCAAGCGUUGUCCGGAUUUAUUGGGUUUAAAGGGUGCGUAGGCGGCCUAUUAAGUCAGUGGUGAAAUAUCCCGGCUUAACCGGGGGGGUGCCAUUGAUACUGAUGGGCUUGAGUACAGAUGAGGUAGGCGGAAUUGACGGUGUAGCGGUGAAAUGCAUAGAUAUCGUCAAGAACACCUAUAGCGAAGGCAGCUUACUAGGCUGUAACUGACGCUGAGGCACGAAAGUGUGGGGAUCAAACAGGAUUAGAUACCCUGGUAGUCCACACUGUAAACGUUGAUUACUCGCUGUGUGCGAUAUACAGU